GUCGUGGCUGAGUGGUAAAGCACUUGCAUAGCACGCAUGAGCCACUCACUGGGUUCCAUCCCCGACAUCACAUUAAAAAAAAAAAAACAGUUGAAGUCCAAAAGUGUGGCUUGGUGUAGUCAAAUGCCUAAUGGGCUUGCUUACUGUAAAAUUCUCUUUAAGUCUUUCUGUGCUGUCUGGUGAGUAUGCUUUUCAUUGUUGUUGCUGUUUUAUAGGUAAACGUCCUAAAAAAGGAAUGGCAACAGCCAAACAACGUCUUGGAAAGAUCCUUAAGUUGAACAGAAAUGGCCAUGCACGUUUCUUUGUGUGACAGAGCCACUGUUGCAGCCACUCUUCACUUUGGAGACCAGUCUUGGGGUGCAGAAGCCUGGAGCUUCCACCACCCCCUGCCUGGAACAUUUGCGUGUACAGUAAGAACACUGCCCGAAGAACAGAAUGAACCUGAUGCUGCAUUUUCACUGUGCCACACCCACUCAGCAAUAACCCUUUGGACCUGGUGGGGGAGAGGAAGAAGGAGGGUAGAACCUUAAAAAGAGACCUUGAACUGGAAAGGGUCUCUUGUCAGGGCUUGAAUUUCAUUUUGUUGUUGGUAGUGUCUUGAUUUAUUUUCAGUAGUAGGGUGAAGAAUUAUCAAUAAUUUAUUUAACAGAUUUUUUUAAAGUUAACAGCUUUUAAAUUCUUUCUUUUUUAAAGCUAUUUAUUUGGAAGAUUUCUGGAGAAAUAUCUCACUAAUUUAGAUUUAAGAAUGUGAAGGUUUUUAAAUUAUUUUUGAUAGUGUGUGUGUUACAUGUGGGAAAGAGCCACGGUAACAGUAACUAGUCUGGACUCUUAAAUUUGAUAUUCAGGUUAAAGUCUUAAACAGGGAUUUGAUGCAUUAAUUAUUUUAAAUUAAGAUGUAUAUGAAAAUCAUUUUAUUUUAUAUAUUUCAUGUGUUUUUUAUAAGCUAUUAGCUUCGCUUUUGCUAACAUUCAAGGUGCAUACUGUUAUCCAGGUUGAUUCCCUUAUACCCCACCUUCCCUCUGCACCCCCCUGUCAUUUUGUGAUGACUCUUCAAGUCUCUUCUCUUUGCAGGGAAAUACUUCCAUAGCCAAUGUGUAAGAACUUCAUAAAAGAUCCCUCAUUUCUCAUUUCCUUUGACAUUGUGGUUUUCUUCUAAAUAUAAAGAACUAGGCUUCUUAUGUUUUCAUUUCUGCUGAUGAUAUCUGGGUCCCAAAGAGAACAGCUUUAAUAUCUUUUUCCUACUUGUGCGGAAAGUAUUAUAAGUUUGGUUAAAUAGUCAUGUUUGUAUUUUUUCCAAAUACAUUUGUAACUACAGAGGGCCUUCUUCCUACUGUCAGUGUUGAAGGACAGGGCCAAUGCCUGCUGCAAGGUUAUAUCUCAUGAUGCUUUUAUUCUUUACACCUAAUUUGUUGAAAAGUAUGAAUUGAUGUAGGAUAUACAAAUCUGCAUAAUAAGCCGUAAUAUAAUAGGAUUAUACUAUAUUAAGUUGUAUAGAUGCAAGCAUGUUGGAGUAGAUUGUGUGUGUGUGUGUGUGUGUGUGUGUGUGUAUGUAUGUAUGUAUGUGUGUUUGUGUUUACUUUUUCUUAACCUUGUGCAUAAUUAUUUCAUAUAUGGAUUUGGAGUAAAAUGGGUGCUUCUUUUUGCGGUUUCUUCCAUAUAUCUUAACUUGACCACUGUAUACUUAGGUUAACUAUCUGGUUGAACUUUAAGGUAAUCAUUUAUCUCCUUUAUGUACAAUUUUUACUAAAUAUUAGUUUUCAGUUGCUGAUCAGAGUUUCUGGUUUCCCUUCCCCACCCUCACCCCCAUCCAUGGUAUAAAAAUAAAUGAUUGCUAGGGGUGAAGUGGAACUAUUCCUAAGUCUGACAGUAUAGCAUUUUACAAAUUUCUACAAAGACAAUAUAGGCAAAUAGGCUGGAAUUUAUUUUUAUGGAGAAAAAAUAUGGCCAUACUAUGGAUUUGUCUUUUUUUUUUUUAUAUAAGCAAGGUAGCAGGACUUUUCCUUCUGUAUUAAGUAUCACUAAGUUAUUAAGAAAAAAAACUAUACCAUUAUCUUUCAUGGUUGCAUUCAAAUGUGUAUUUCCAAAGAGAGAUAUUUCUUACUCUGUCUCCAUUCCAGUAUUUCAUGAGAUAACUAUGAAAUAACUUCUGAGUUAGCCUUUUUGGUCCAGAGUGUCUGGGCCAGAGUCUGAAUCUUAUCUGGAUGUCCAGGAAAAUAAUUUUUAUGGAAAUCCUUAAAAUUUGUAAACAACCUACUUAAAACCCUGUCUGUAGUAUACCUAACUAGUGGAGAGAUGGCUGUAGUCAACCAUUGGCUGGUCAUCAUAUAUCAAGAUGCAAAAAUCUGGGUUUGAUUGAUUCUCUCACCUUCCUCCACAGUAUAUCUCUAUAUACUUGUGUGUCUUGGUUUUUUGUAGACCCUGUUUUGAUGUUAUAGUAUACAUAUUUUUAUUUUGGUUUAAGAAAUAGGACUAUAAUUUCUUUUUCCAGUUACAUCAUAAUCUGGAUUUUUUUCUUUAUAAUUUUCACAACUUAUUUUUAAUUACUUUUUUCUUUAGCCGUAAAAAUUGAGAAAAAACAUAGUUUAUUUUUAAGAAAAAAAUCGUGGCCACUAUCCACCCUGUGUCCUUAGAUCAAUAAACACUAAUUCUGAGUAGCAAAUAUGUGGAAUUUUUAAGUGAAAGUACUGUGGAUUUGUUUUUGGCAGUUUUAGCUCACUAACUGGCUAAGUUCCAAAACUUUCAUCAAGGUCAUAUAACCACUAUAAGAGAGUACAUGUAUCUUUUUUUCUGAAUUGGUAAAAAUUCAGCUACCCAUCCAGGGACUUUUCUAAUCAAACCUCUUAUAAAGUUACUGCUAUGAUGCAUUCCUUUAUCUCUUGGAACUGACUGAACUUUGAGGUAAUGACUGCCGGUUUCUGGGCUCAACAGUAACAUAAGUAACCUUUAGUGUUUAACUUAGUUUUGUUUAUGAUCAGUAUACCACAGUUUAGACAGGAAGACAGCAUUUAGUUAGUUGUAAGCAAAUACAAAUAUGUAAAAUCAAGAAUUAAUGAUUUAAUGUAUGCAACUUAACAGUAGUAGUAAUUUUUCUAUAUUGAUAGUAAUUUUCCUAUAUUGAUUCUUAACUUGGGAUCCACUGUACUGUAAUUCACAUCACCACACAAUAUUAUGCUCCCCAGUACUGACGAGUGAUGUAAACAAUACAAAGCUGGCAGUUUAUAGUAAUCCAGUGUCUUAGGAAUACAUUUGAAUUUCAUAAGUAUCAGUUCAUUUCUGAAGCAUACAAAAUUGAACAUUCAGACUGAAAUCAUAAACUCAGAGAGGAAACAAGCUCAUCUUUAUCACUAGUUAAAUACUUAACUUGAACGUUCUAUUUUUAACAACCCCAAUUAUUGCCUUUUCAUUGUACUCUACUGUAUGUAUUCAUAUGGGAUCAGCAGGUAUUUAUCAAACAUUUACUGUGUGCCUCGCACUAUUUAGUAUGGUAGGGUAAUAUCAAGUUGCAGUUGUAGUCUUUGCCCAAGAAAUUGUCUUCUCCAGGAACUUAGCAGUACUGUUUUCACUUUUAGGCAAACUUCAGCAAAAGAGGGCUCCUUCAUUUAAAAAAAAAAAAAAAAAAAGUAGCUUAUCUCUAUUAGUUUCAAUUGAGAUAUCCCACUGUAGAAGUAAAAUCGACCUGAGUUCUUUAAGAAACAUUUCAAAAGUUAGUUAAUAAUGUUGGUAACAUAAAGAUGUGAAAUGAUGUGGAAGAAAGCAAAAGGUCCUGAGUUUUGGUCUAAGUUCUGCUUCUGAUGUGUCAGCUCUUGACCUUAAAUAAGUCACUUAGCCUUUCUAGUCUUAGUUGUCUUAUUUGUAAAUUUGGAUGAAAAUGCUUAUUAUAAUAAUUACUGAAGAAAAACAUUCCUUAAUCUAUUAAUACUUCAUAUUUACAGAGAAUUGAUCAUUAUUUAAGUUACAACUUGUAAUGAAUGCAUCUUUAUAUACAUUUUUAAAUGAAAACUGUUGUUUCUUAUCAAAUAUAUGCUAUCUAAAAAAAUCCGAAGAUUCUCUAACAAGGUGCUGAAUUACAGUUAGAUCCUGUGCUUGAAGUGAAAUAAAAAGAGGUGAGCUAGUUUAUGGAUAGGAAAGUGAGAGAGUUUAUUCUCAAGUUCAUGAAGAUGAUGUAAAAUGAUUAAAAGAUACCUUUAGAUUUUAGUACUGCUUUCCAGAUUUGGCAUACUUUUGAGGUACUGGAGAAAAAUGGAAUAAGUUAUGGAAUUAAAAUUAUUUAGCAACUACCCUUGGGACUGGUAGAAAGACGGAACUCCUCAGACAGCUGCAGGUUGGGUGACAGUUGCCUGGGUAAACAAAGAAAUCUUUGUAAUAGUGCAGGAAAGGAGACUAUGUCUUCUACAGAAAAUAAUCUGCUUGUUUCAAAAGAUGCUCUCUAAAGUGGUAAGGCUACUUCGGAGAGUUGAUGGGAAUGAUUGCAUGGCCCAGUAUGCUACUGCUAGAAGUAACUAUUACAACAAAUAAGCAUUUUUAGUUUUUGCAUGGAAGAGACAAGGGCUUUCAUAAUAUAAACAUCUUUCAGAAAUUCAUCUUUCUCAUUAAAUAUUGACCUAAUUUCUCCUUAUAUACAGAAAAGCUCUUGCCUAGUAUGUGCAAGGCCCUUGGUUAGAUCCCCUGCACUUCAAGAGAGAGAAGCGAAGUCUCCCUAGUCCUUUCCUGAUGUCCUACACCUCCAUCCAAAGUGAUCUUGAGGGUGAGCGUCAUGUAUCUUUAGCCUAGGAAAGCCAGUGAAAAAAGAAGACAAACGUACACCUGAUAGGGCAGUGAUUUGCUUGGGGACACAGGGUGAAUCUGCUUGGGAUCUAUAGAAUAAAACCUUGCUUCCUAAAACAGCUCCUGUUCUGUGACACUGCAGCCUCUGCUUGCCUUGCCGUAGAUGAUGUUCGUAUGCUUGAGGUCAGAUGGAAAGGAAGGGGAGAAAUUACUAUACUUAUUACUAAAUUGCUGUUGAGUGUAAUGUCAACUUAGUACUAUAGCCUUACUAAAAACCCUCAGUGAGCAUGCCAUAAGUCAAAGAAAUACUUGAUAUUACAUAAACAGUUUUAAGAUCAUCCAGAACAAAUGCAUAUUUCCAAAGCAGUUAACUUAUUGUGAUGGACUGGUUUUAUUCCUCUGUAGAAAUUUUUCCUUCUUUAGUUGGGAGGAGAAAAUAAUACUGAGUUGAGAGACCCUUAGAUUCUCCCUCUUGCCUUUGGUGCCCCUUCUUGUGUCUUAAGACUUUGUCUUAACAAGUGCAACAUUACAUUUUUGUUACAAUCUUUUUAAAACUGUAUUCAAUGAUUCUUCCAACAAGUUUAUCUGCUCUGCACUAUUUCACUAAUAUACCCUGGCUACCACGUAGCCCUUGACCUCCAAGUAGUUUACCUAUGCAAAACCCAUGACCUUCUGAAUUCACUUUUCUUUAUUUCAGAAAGCACUCAUAAACAGAACUUCCUUUAAAAAACAAACAAACAAAACAAAAAACUUAUUUUCAACCAGUUUUAUUUUGGCCAUUUCUUUUCCAAAAUAUAAGCUAUUUCCCCCUAAGGUUUUUCACCAAAACAAUGGUCAUUAAGUGCUAGGAUAUAUAAUAUUUUGCAGUAAUAAAAUAACCCAGGCAUACUCUUAUAUUUAUUUGGUGGAUUUUGGUUGGUAAAAAUUACCAGCACUAAAUGUAAUAUAUAAUGAGGAGUUGAUUCCUUGCCUAGAAUCGUUUCUUCCCUCUAAGAUUCAAAAGUAACGUUUUAUUUUUUACAAAGCAUACAUAUAACUUCCACACUAUAGUCAGGGACCUGAGGUGUAACUUAACUAAGUGAACCCCAAGGUUAUUUUAUCUUGUAAAAGAAACCUAAACCAAACUAAGGGCCUUACAGUUUAUGGUUAGACUGAAUCAAAAGCUACAGCCUCAGUUUUUCCACAAACAGCUUCUGGCUGCAAAGCAAGUCGUGCAGUUAUUAGGCAUGGAGUAGCACCGAUCAGGAAACGCACGAGCAUCUUUGCAGACUGUAUUUCCUUCGGAAAAGACUUUUCUACUUUUAAUAUAAAUUAAGCCAUAACAGUUUCAUGCUGUGGAAAGAGGGUGAAAAGGUUCAUUUUAAGAGAUUAUAUAGUAUGAAUUUUCACAUUUACUGUGAAAUGUCUAACUUUUCCAGUGCUUCAGCAAGUUUUCUUUUGGGGGGAUGUUGGAGGGUGGUGAUGGGGAGGGGUAGUAUUGGUUUUGGGGGUUUUAACUCUGUGAAAUUUGAAAAGGGGACAGUUGUUGGCUAUGGUACUUACUAGUUUUGUAGUAAUGUUUUGCUAGCCUGACUGACUUUCCUUACUGGUUUUUAUGUCUGCGGUCCCAGGUGACCGUUACCCUUCUUGUUUCGAGUGUCUGCGGAGUAGUGUCUUGUCUAUGUGUGUAGGCAGCCAGUGUGUGUGCACAUGUGUGUCCUUGGAAUACAGAAGCACACUGUGUGACAGUGAAACGGGGUGUGGCUGGGGAGUGGGAUGCGGAAGCUUUAAGAGCAUUUUUUUUCGAUUCAUAACAGUAUUUCCCAUCUUUUGCCUGCAGGCAGGGAAAGUGUACAGUAUUUAUUUUGUUUCUGUUUUACUCUGAAUUUGUAAGUCUUUAAGUAGCUUACAUUGAUUAUUAUAGGGGAAGCAGUGACUUGUUUAAAGUUGUAUUUGGUAUUCUUACUUUCCAAUUUCUGUAUUUUAAAAUAUUAAAAUUAAAAUUGUAUUACUUCUGUUUUGAUUUUUUAGCACUCAGUGUAUUUUUUGCUCAUUUUGUUUGAAAGUAUAAAUUUCAAAAGUUGUGUAAAAUAUGUCUCUGAAAGAAAAAAAUCCAAAUUCUAUAUCCAAUUAUGACUUUCUGUUCCCUUUUUCUUAUUGAAAUCUCAGGAAAUUAUUUAAGAAUGUGAAAAACUGUUCCUUACUUUCUCUGAAAAUUUAAAUGCGAAAAAUAAUGUGUUUUAUUAUUUUAGUAGAUGUUUUUCUGGAGAAGUGUGAUGGCUGAAAGAGAAGGAUGAUCGGCAAGAUGAGGCUGAGAUGCAGACAUGGAUGUGGGUGUUUAUGGAUGAACACUUCUGAGCACUCAUUGUCCCAAACCUGGGUACCUGUAGUGUACCAUGCACUGCUCUAGCACUUGUGAGCAUAACAAGCCCAAGCCUUGUGUGAAAUGGAAAUGGCAAAGGAUAACCAGGAGCCAUGGUGGCCUGGCUGUCUCACGAAGGGGAGAGGGUAAGUGUAGGUGCAAUGAGGAGGAUGAAUUCAGUUUUGGAUCUAAGGCCUGAGAGAGAUCAGGGAUGGUAUGAGUGGGGAUAAGCUCUAACCUUGCAGGGAGCGAGAGGAGCCAUGGGCUUAGGGGGAAGGGAUGCUGGGGCAGCACUUCACGGGCAGCAGGUAAGCCUUGGAUGAAGACAGUUAGUGGGUAGCAGAAGCACCAGAGACUGUGGCUCCCCUUCUCCCUACUACCAAAAAAUAGUGAUGCCAGAGCAUGGUAGCUGCUGUCUUUGUCGUCAUACCAAAAGCAGUCUGUGCUGCCUCUUUCUUGACUGACCUGCUUUUAUACAACUAGUGGGAGACUAAACUGAGCAAAUCUGUUCUUUUGAGAAAUUCCACAUGUACUAUUUUAGGUCUGUGGGAUGUUUACCCUUCUUGUUUACCUUUGAGUCAUUAGCACCCCCUCUCAUUUAGACUCUUAGCCUGGUUUUGUGUUUCCAUCAGUGGGGCUAAGAAAUACCUUGUUGUGGGCUGUGCGUGUUAACACCCUCUUGUUUUAGAGUAGAAAGAAUCCUGUGCUUUGCCUCAGACAGGGUGUGGACUAGAACCCUCAUUCUCUUAUUCCACUGGAGUUCUUGCUAGAUACAAAAAAUAUUUGUGUUCUUCCUUUGUGGCCCAGUGAAGUCAGCACUACUGCUAGGUGAAACUAAGGUGCAGAGAGGGUAAGUAACAUGUCCAGGUUCUUCUACUAAGUAAAACAAAUUUUAGUUGGAAGUCUGUUCAGUUCUAAUGGCCUUACUAUUUUAUCUGAAUUGUUUUUCUCUAAUUAUUUUUAGCUAUAUACUUUUAAGCAUUAAGGGGGAAUAGCUGGUCCUUGACUGUAUCCUAAACAUUUCUUUGUAGACUCCACCCAUUUUGGAUUAAAGUAUUUUUCUUGUGGAAGUUUUUUGUCACUUGACACUACAGAGUCUGUGCUUCCCCAGGAGCUGGUCAUACUGGGGAACACCAGUUCUUUUCUAGAACUGAGCUCAUUUUCUGAUGGAGAAUGUAGGCUAUACAUGGGUGACAGAUGGGCUCCACCGUCACAGUACAUGAACCAAAUGUAGAUUUCUGAAGUUCAGAACUAGAGGAUGAGCAGAAGCCAUGCCCAGUGCCCCCACCACCACUAUACCUGGCCUGGCC
rnacentral:lncRNA from 1 species